rnacentral:lncRNA from 1 species
ACUUAUCUAGCUAAUUUGAUGGAUUAUAUUUUGAUUAGAUUGCUAAGUAUUUUGAGUUGACCCAUGCCAUUAAGGUUGAUCAGUGUGACUGAUUUAGGUGCCAUUUUCAACCAGCAUAACCUUGAUCCAAUUCAAUGACUUGAUGAAGUUAGUGGGAGGAUUAUGGUUUACUAGUUGAUCUCUUCUCUUCUCUUCUCUUAAUUCAUAAAUUAA